UACGUAGGGACCAAGCGUUGUUCGGAUUUACUGGGCGUAAAGGGCGCGUAGGCGGCGUGGUAAGUCACUUGUGAAAUCUCUGAGCUUAACUCAGAACGGCCAAGUGAUACUGCUGUGCUAGAGUGCAGAAGGGGCAAGCGGAAUUCCUGGUGUAGCGGUGAAAUGCGUAGAUAUCAGGAGGAACACCGGCGGUGUAGACGGCUUUCUGGACCGUAGCUGACGCUGAGACACGAAAGCGUGGGUAGCAAACAGG
rnacentral:rRNA from 1 species